GGCGUGUUUUUACUAAAGUUUGUAUGGCAAUUGACUUAUGAGUAUGGUCAUUGUUAUUAAUUAAGUGAACCAAGUGAACCUAUGAUGAAAAAACAUUUAAGUCAAAUGAGAAGUUUAAAUAAAAAAAACUCCUUUAAUGCGAUGUCCUUCUGAAGUUGUUGAGAUUUUUUACCAUUAACUUCAUUUUACUCUUUAUAUUUCAUUCUAGCCUUG
rnacentral:lncRNA from 1 species